UGCUGAUGGAGAGUGAAAACCCACU
rnacentral:piRNA from 1 species